UAAAAGAGGAUCCAGCAAGAGAGCUACCUUAAAUCCCUUUUGCUGACGUACUCCUUUUUC
rnacentral:pre_miRNA from 1 species